AAAUUUAUCCAACAAUAAUAUUUAUCACCAAAGAGACAAGGUGGUAAUUAGUGGGGAAUAAAAGCAACUAUUGCAGCCUAGUUUUCAAUCAGUCUGUUCCGACGCUCAGUAAUCACCAGCUAAGCUUUUUUUAUAUUCACCAAUCCGCAGAAUAUCGACAAUUCAUCCGGGGCGAUGAAGACGAGGUACGCUUUCUGUAUCAUAUUUCUCUUCUCAGCCACCCUCUUGGACCAAGUGUGGGGUGAAAAUGAAAGUUGUGGUCCCCGGUCUCGUCCAGACCCUGGACUAUGCCCCUUUCAAAAUGGGGUCACAAUGCGCUGCGAAUACCAAGUUGGUCUUGGGGGAGGAUGCGCUUGUUGGCAAUGCAAAUGUCCAAGCUGGGCGCCGCAUGUAGAAGGUCAUGGUUGCGUCCCCCUGCCCUGUUGUUAAAAGGCGGAGAUCGAGGCGUAAUUAAAUUCCUUAGCUUACUGUUCUAUUAGUAAUUUGAUCAAAUUGGCUUUCCAUAAAAAAUAAAUCAGAACAUCUAUCAAUGCAUGACAAA